GGAUUAGAUACCCUAGUAUUUGUGUAAUAUAAAUUAGUGUAUAAAGAAACUUAAAAUUUUUGGCGGUUAUCUACUAUUUAGAGGAGUUUGUUGAGAUUAGAAUUUGCACUUUAAAUUUAGGGAAUAUAAACUUAUUCAUCUCCGUUAUAAGGUUAAAGCUUUUAAAUAUAAUUAUAACAUUUCAGGUCAAGAUGUAGUCUUUAUUAAUGAAAAUUAACUACAGUUAUGAGAUAAUUGGAUUUUUUCAAAAAAUUUGUUAAAUAAAAGUGGAUUUGGUUGUAAUAAUUAUUAUGGGGUUUUUAUGAAAUGGGUUGGAUAGUGUACAGAUUGCCCGUCACUUCUGUUGUAAGGUGGAAUAAGUCGUAACAAAGUA
rnacentral:rRNA from 1 species